rnacentral:rRNA from 1 species
GAUGAACGCUGGCGGCGUGCUUAACACAUGCAAGUCGAACGAAGCAUUUGCGACAGAUUUUUUCGGAAUGAAGUUGCUUAUGACUGAGUGGCGGACGGGUGAGUAACGCGUGGGUAACCUGCCUUGUACUGGGGGAUAGCAGCUGGAAACGGCUGGUAAUACCGCAUAAGCGCACAAUGUUGCAUGACAUGGUGUGAAAAACUCCGGUGGUAUAAGAUGGACCCGCGUCUGAUUAGCUAGUUGGUGAGAUAACAGCCCACCAAGGCGACGAUCAGUAGCCGACCUGAGAGGGUGACCGGCCACAUUGGGACUGAGACACGGCCCAGACUCCUACGGGAGGCAGCAGUGGGGAAUAUUGCACAAUGGAGGAAACCCUGAUGCAGCGACGCCGCGUGAGUGAAGAAGUAAUUCGUUAUGUAAAGCUCUAUCAGCAGGGAAGAUAGUGACGGUACCUGACUAAGAAGCUCCGGCUAAAUACGUG